rnacentral:rRNA from 1 species
GAACGGGUGAGUAACACGUGGGUGAUCUGCCCUGCACUUUGGGAUAAGCCUGGGAAACUGGGUCUAAUACCGAAUAGGACCACGCGCUUCAUGGUGUGUGGUGGAAAGCUUUUGCGGUGUGGGAUGGGCCCGCGGCCUAUCAGCUUGUUGGUGGGGUAAUGGCCUACCAAGGCGACGACGGGUAGCCGGCCUGAGAGGGUGACCGGCCACACUGGGACUGAGAUACGGCCCAGACUCCUACGGGAGGCAGCAGUGGGGAAUAUUGCACAAUGGGCGCAAGCCUGAUGCAGCGACGCCGCGUGAGGGAUGACGGCCUUCGGGUUGUAAACCUCUUUCAAUAGGGACGAAGCGCAAGUGACGGUACCUAUAGAAGAAGCACCGGCCAACUACGUGCCAGCAGCCGCGGUAAUACGUAGGGUGCGAGCGUUGUCCGGAAUUACUGGGCGUAAAGAGCUCGUAGGUGGUUUGUCGCGUUGUUCGUGAAAACUCACAGCUUAACUGUGGGCGUGCGGGCGAUACGGGCAGACUAGAGUACUGCAGGGGAGACUGGAAUUCCUGGUGUAGCGGUGGAAUGCGCAGAUAUCAGGAGGAACACCGGUGGCGAAGGCGGGUCUCUGGGCAGUAACUGACGCUGAGGAGCGAAAGCGUGGGGAGCGAACAGGAUUAGAUACCCUGGUAGUCCACGCCGUAAACGGUGGGUACUAGGUGUGGGUUCCUUCCUUGGGAUCCGUGCCGUAGCUAACGCAUUAAGUACCCCGCCUGGGGAGUACGGCCGCAAGGCUAAAACUCAAAGGAAUUGACGGGGGCCCGCACAAGCGGCGGAGCAUGUGGAUUAAUUCGAUGCAACGCGAAGAACCUUACCUGGGUUUGA